rnacentral:rRNA from 1 species
AUGAUAGAUCUAGAAUUAAUUACAUGUCCACAAUCAGGAACAUGGCCGUACGUGCUAGUUUUCGUUCACUGGCUUGGGAGUAUAAGGCGCCGUGCACCCGUGCUCUCUGCUCACCACUGCUUGCUCAGGCGCGCCAUGUCGUCGGUUAGAGUAAUCCACGCGAGCUACGUCAACGUGCCGGCAACCGCGGCGCCGCCACCGGGGCCGAUCAAGCUCACGGCGAUGGAGGCGCCGUGGGUCGUCCUCCCUGAGCUGCAGCACGUCCUGCUGUACGAGGGCCAAGACAUGCCGCCGUUCGACGACAUUCUCCUGUCCCUCAGAUCCUCCCUGGCCGCGACUCUGGGCAGCUUCGCGCCGCUGGCCGGCAAGCUCGUCCACCUUGAGGACACCGGCGACGUUGCCAUCGCCUGCUCCACCUCGGACGGCGUCAGGUUCGUCGUCGCGGAGUGUGAUGGCGACAUGAGACACCUGGCCGGCGACGAGGAGCACGACGUGCGCGUGCUCGAGCGGCUGGUGCCGGGGGUGGACAUGGGCGAGUUGCCGACCCCCGUGCUGGCCGUGCAGGCCACGCGCUUCGAGGGCGGUGUGGCGGUCGGGGUGACGGUGCACCACGGUGUCGCCGACGGGCGGUCGUUGUGGACGUUCGUCGAGGCGUGGGCGGCGGCAUGCCGUGGCGAGGCACAUGCGGUGACGGCACCUUCCUUCGAUCGCUCGCUCGUCAAGCUGCCUGGUGGCGAGGAGUUGGCGAGGAGCCUCUUAAGAAAGUACGCCCCAAAUGUACCAAAGGUGGCAAUGCUGGCGCCGCCGCUCGUAGAGGACUGUGCACGGACCACGCGACGGACGUUCAGCUUGGACAGUCGGGACACAUCCAACGCCUCAAGGAGCGCAUCGUCCGUAUCGGCGAAGCCGACGGCGCGGCCCCGCCUCGCCCCCCGUCCAACUUCAUCGCCGUCGCCGCGCUCGCUUGGACGUGCUUCGUCCGGUGCAAGCCGUUCGCCUCGGACGACGACGUAA